AUUGAACGCUGGCGGCAGGCCUAACACAUGCAAGUCGAGCGAGCGGCGGACGGGUGAGUAAUGUAUGGGGACUGCCCGAUAGAGGGGGAUAACUACUGGAAACGGUGACUAAUACCGCAUACUAUCGGAUAACCCAUAUUGGAUUAGCUAGUAGUUGGGGUAAAGGCUGACCUAGGCGACGAUCUCUAGCUGGUCUGAGAGGAUGAUCGGCCACAGUGGAACGGAGACACGGCCAAGAGUCCUACGGAGGCAGCAGUGGGGAAUAUGGCACAAUGGGGGAAAGCCUGAUACAGCCAUGCCGCUUGUAUGAAGAAGGCCUUAGGGUUGUAAAGUACUGUCAGCGGGGAGGCGUUACCCGCAGAAGAAGCACCGGCUAACUCCGUGCCAGCAGCCGCGGUAAUUC
rnacentral:rRNA from 1 species